CCCAAACUACUCUCCCAACUGUCGCUAACUACUGUCCCAACUGUCCCUAACUACAGUACUUAGAGACAGUUGGGACAGUAGUUGGGUGCAGUUGGGACAGUAGUUAGCCACAGUUGGGACAGUAGUUAGCGGCAUUAUGGGUAGUUGGGACAGUAGUAAGGGGCAUUUGGGACAGUAGUUAAGAAAAGUUGGAACAGUAGUUGUGGCAGUUGUUACAGUAGUUAGCGACAGUUGGGACAGUAGUUAUCUGCAGUUGGGACAGUAGUUAGGGACAGCUUGGACAGUAGUUAGCGGCAGUUGGCACAGUAGUUAGGGGCAGUUGGGACAGUUGUUAGGGGCUGAUGGGACAGUAGUCAGUGACAGUUGGGACAUUAUAUAGUAGUUAUCUGCAGUCGGGGCAGUUGGGACAGUAGUUAGCGACAGUUUGAUAGUAGUUAGGGGCACUUGGGUCAGUAGUUAUGGGCUGUUGGGACAGUAGUUAUCGGCAGUUGAACAGUUGUUAGCGGCAGUAGCGGCAGUUAGCAGAGUAGGUAGGGUCAGUUGGGAGAGUAGUUAGCAGCAGUAGUGGCAGUCGGGAGUGUAGUUAGAAGCAGUAGGGGCAGUUGGCACCGUAGUUAGGGUCAUUUGGGACUGUAGUUUAUGACCGUUGGGACAGUAGUUUGGGGCACUUGGGACAGUAGUUAGUGGCAGUUGGGACAGUAGUUAGUGACAGAUGGGACUGUAGUUAGGCACAUUGGGACAGUAGUUUGUAACAGUUGGGACAGUUGUUCGGGCAGUUGGGACAGUAGUUAAUGACACUUGCUACAGUAGUUAGGGGCAGUUGAGACAGUAGUUAGCGGCAGAUGGGACAGUAGUUAGGGGCAGUUGGGACAGUACUUAGCGACAGUUGGGACAGUAGUUAGGGACAGUUGGGACAGUAGUUUGCGGCAGUUGGGAUAGUAGCCAGUGGCAGAUGGGACAGUAGGUAGGGGCAGUUGGGACAGUAGUUAGCGGCAGUUGGGACUGUAGUUAGGGUUAGUUGGGACAGUAGUUAGGAGCAGUUGAAGGAGUAGUUAGUGGCAGUUGGGACAGUAGUUGGGCAGUUGGGACAGUAGUUAGCAGAAGUUGGGACAGUAGUUAAGUACAAUUUGGACAGUACUUAGCGACAGAUGCGACAGUAGUUAGGGGCAGUUGGGACAGUAGUUUGCAGCAGUUGGGACAGUAGUUAGGGGCAGUUGGGAUAGUAGUUAGUGACAGUUGGGACAGUAGUUGGGGCAGUUGGGACAGUAGUUUGUGGCAGUAGGGGCAGUUGAGACACUAGUUAGGGCAGUUGUGGCAGUAGUUAGGGGCAGUAGUUAGUGGCAGUUAGGACUGUAGUUUGCGGCAGUUGGGACAGUAGUUAGCGGCAGAUGGGACAGUAGUUAGGGGCAGCUGGGAUAGUAGUUAGGUGGAGUCGGGACAGUACUUAGCGACAGUUUUGACAGUAGUUAGGGGCAGUUGGGACAUUAGUUAGCGGCAGUUGGGACAGUAGUUAGCGACAGUUGGGACAGUAGUUAGCGACAGUUGGGACAGCAGUUACGGGCAUUUGAGACAGUAGUUAGCGACAGUUGGGACUGUAGUUAGUGGCAGUUGGGACUGUAGUUAGGGGCAGUUGGAACAGUACUUAGCGACAGUUGGGACAGUAGUUGGGGAAUUUGGGACAGUAGUUAGGGCCAUGUGGGACAAUAGUUAGCGACAGUUGCGGCAGUUGGAACAGUAGUACACAACAGUUGGGAGAGUUGUUAGCUGCUGUUGUUACAGUAUUUAGCAGUUGUUAUUGUAGUUGGGGAAGUUGGGACAGUAGUUAGCGGCAAUUGGGACAGUAGUUAGUGGCAGUUGGGAUUGUAGUACGCGACAGAUGGGACAGUAGUAAGGCAUAGUUG
ensembl:lncRNA